GAUGAACGCUAGCAGAACGCCUAACACAUGCAAGUCGAACGAACCAGCAAUGGUUAGUGGCAAACGGGCGAGUAACGCGUAUCUAACCUACCCUUGAGUGAGGCACAACUACAGAGAUGUAGCUAAUUCCUCAUACGUUCUAGAGAAUGAAAAUAUCUAGAAGAAAGAUUUAUCGCUCAGGGAGGGGGUGCGUCCUAUCAGGUAGUUGGUGAGGUAAUAGCUCACCAAGCCUAUGACGGGUAGCCGGUCUGAGAGGAUGUCCGGCCGCAAUGGAACUGAGAACGGUCCAUACUCCUACGGGAGGCAGCAGGUGGGGAAUAUUGGACAAUGGGCGAAAGCCUGAUCCAGCGAUUCUGCGUGAAGGAUGAAGCCUUAGUGGGGUAGUAAACUUCUUUUCUGGGGGAAGACGAAUGACGGUACCUCAGGAAUAAGAGACGGCUAACUACGUGCCAGCAGCCGCGGUAAUAGUCACGUGG
rnacentral:rRNA from 1 species